CUAGCCCAAACACAACUCAUUAAACCGCACACAAUUAAUCAAGCCAGAACAUUUAAUUACUCAAUUAAAGUAUAGGAGAUAGAAAUACUAUUUUGGAGCUAUAGAGAAAGUACCGUAAGGGAAUGAUGAAAGAUCAUUAAAAGUACUAAACAGCAAAGAUUAGCCCUUAUACCUUUUGCAUAGUGAGCUAGCUAGAAAUAAACUUAACAAAGAGAACUUAAGCUAAGUACCCCGAAUCCAGACGAGCUACCUAUAAACAAUUUUACAGAAUGAACUCAUCUAUGUAGCAAAAUAGUGAGAAGAUUUAUAGGUAGAGGUGAAAAGCCUAACGAGCCUGGCGAUAGCUGGUUGCCCAGAACAGAAUUUUAGUUCAACUUUAAAUUUACCUAAAAACUUAAGAAUUUUAAUGUAAAUUUAAAAUAUAAUCUAAAAAGGUACAGCUUUUUAGACAAAGGAUACAGCCUUACCUAGCGAGUAAACUAUUUAAUAA
rnacentral:rRNA from 1 species